GACGAACGCUGGCGGCGUGCUUAACACAUGCAAGUCGAACGGAAAGGCUCCAGCUUGCUGGAGUACUCGAGUGGCGAACGGGUGAGUAACACGUGGGUAAUCUGCCCUGCACUCUGGGAUAAGCCUGGGAAACUGGGUCUAAUACUGGAUAUGACCUUUCUCCUUAUGGGGUUUGGUGGAAAGUUUUUCGGUGUAGGAUGAGCCCGCGGCCUAUCAGCUUGUUGGUGGGGUGAUGGCCUACCAAGGCGACGACGGGUAGCCGGCCUGAGAGGGUGAUCGGCCACAUUGGGACUGAGAUACGGCCCAGACUCCUACGGGAGGUAGCAGUGGGGAAUAUUGCACAAUGGGCGGAAGCCUGAUGCAGCGACGCCGCGUGAGGGAUGACGGCCUUCGGGUUGUAAACCUCUUUCAGCAGGGACGAAGCGUAAGUGACGGUACCUGCAGAAGAAGCACCGGCUAACUAUGUG
rnacentral:rRNA from 1 species